rnacentral:lncRNA from 1 species
AUGUUUAGCAAAACAUUAGAAGCUCUUAAUCUUACUCUUUCUGCUAAACUAUGGCUAUCAGUGGCUUGGCCUCGACGCGCUCGGACGUGAACAUAUGGUAGCUUCUCACCGCCGUCUUCUGAGGUAUCGUUAGCUGAUUUUUUCCCCUUUUUAGAAGUUUCUUUUACCUGAAUUUCACAGAAAUUGUUCAUCAAACUGAAAUUAGCAUCCCUCGUCGGAAAAUUACACUAUUUAUACAUGUUUAACACUAUUCUUUACGUGUAUAUAUAUAAUAGAUGUCGAACUCUUUCAGCUAGUUCAUAUGUUUACUUCUUUAGAUGUUACCUACAGGAGAAAAUGAAAAUUCUGGCUCCUACACUAAAUGGGAUGUUGAAAUUACCUUUUUCUCGCGUUCCUUUCUCUUUGUUGAUUUCUGAUUGACUAGUGGAUUGGAAGUCGCCGGAGAUGAAUUGUGGUUAAAUUCGGAAUCUAUGGGUUCUUGUUUGACGAACAG